rnacentral:lncRNA from 1 species
CACCCAGAUGCUGUCAGCCCAGAUCAGCUGAACCACAGCUAACACGCAGAUAUGUCAAUCACUUGACAAGGCCUCUUGCUGGCAACCUUGGUGAUGGAUUUUGCAUGCUUAGGGGCUGUGAAGAACAAAACAAUAAGAGCUUUAAUUAAGCAGAAGAGAAAAUGAUGCAAUCAAGAGAUGUGGUAAACACGAGAUGGAUGAGGCUGCUGCUGGCCGUAACAUGACAUCCUGUUUUAUGUGCACCGAAACCAGAAAUCAACAGAACAAAAAUGGAGAAAUUAAAGAACAAGUGGAAAUUAAACAACACACCCUUAUACAAUCCUUCAGUCAAAGAAGAAAUCAAAAAGGAAAUUAGAUAAUAUCUUUAAAGAAAUGAAAAUGAAAACACAACUUGCCAAAACUUAUCGGAUGCAGCAAAAGCAGCACUGAGAGAUAAGUUUAUAGUGUUAAAUGCCUAUGUUAAAAAAGAGAGAUUUCAAAUAAGCAACCUAACUUUAUACCUCAAGAAAGUAGAUAAUAAUAUACUAUGGUAAAAAUUAAA